rnacentral:lncRNA from 1 species
CUUAAGUCUACUACACUUUAAUGUAUAUAAUAUGUGAAAAUAAAUAAAUUAUUAUAAUAGCUUCUGGAUAUUAUAAAAACUGUUGUUAUGUUUUUGUUAAAGACAGAAUUCCUUUAACUUUUCAAUGAUAAAGCAAACAUUGUCAAAAAUUUGUGAACAAGCCAACAUUCGCUCAGUUAUAACAAGCUGGUAAAGUAUGCCGAAUACCGCCUAAGUAAAACUUAAAAUGAAGCUAUUUGUUAAACAAAGUGGAUGAAUGGACAGUACGAAAAGCAUACCUAUAUAAGUGAAGAUUGAAUUACAUAUACCUUUUUUACUUUUAGAAUCAUUCAAAGAUAGUGAUGUCAGUAUAUCAAAGUGUGUGGAACAUUAAUUUUGGUAGACAGAAGUUAUCAAUUGACGAUACAGAUAUUCUUAAAUUUAUAAACAGUUGGUUAUAGUAAGAUUGCAGGUUAUUAUAAGAUUAUAAUAGUAGAGGAAAAUAUUUGAACAGUAAUCAGCUGCUGUCCGAUGACAUAACAUUAACUGCCAUUGCAUUAAUUAGUCAGCAUUUUGUACAAUUGGUAAGAUCCCACCAAAGCACAUACAUAUAAAAAGAGCUUCAACUUUAAACUCUGUCAAAAUUACAAUCAUGCAGCUGAAUUGAAGUUAGUACAAAAUUUCAUUCCGGGGAUCUAUGAUGAGUUUAUUUACCUUUUUUAGAUAAAGAAUAAAAAACCAUUAUUAUUAUUAUAAUUAUUGCAAUCAUCAUUUCCUAAUUUUAGUUACAAUGUAUAUGUUAUGUACAAGUUAU